GAUGAACGCUGGCGGCGUGCUUAACACAUGCAAGUCGAACGAAGCACCUCUCCCGAAGAUUGACACAGCUUGCUGUAGAUUGAUUCAUUUGAGGUGACUGAGUGGCGGACGGGUGAGUAACGCGUGGGUAACCUGCCUCAUAGAGGGGGACAACAGUUGGAAACGGCUGCUAAUACCGCAUAGUAAGAAGAAUUCGCAUGUUUUCUUCUUGAAAGAUUUAUCGCUAUGAGAUGGACCCGCGUCUGAUUAGCUAGUUGGUAAGGUAACGGCUUACCAAGGCGACGAUCAGUAGCCGGCUUGAGAGAGUGAGCGGCCACAUUGGGACUGAGACACGGCCCAAACUCCUACGGGAGGCAGCAGUGGGGAAUAUUGCACAAUGGGGGAAACCCUGAUGCAGCGACGCCGCGUGAGUGAAGAAGUAUUUCGGUAUGUAAAGCUCUAUCAGCAGGGAAGAUAAUGACGGUACCUGACUAAGAAGCCCCGGCUAACUACGUG
rnacentral:rRNA from 1 species